rnacentral:rRNA from 1 species
GACGAACGCUGGCGGCGUGCCUAAUACAUGCAAGUAGAACGCUGAAGGAGGAGCUUGCUUCUCUGGAUGAGUUGCGAACGGGUGAGUAACGCGUAGGUAACCUGCCUGGUAGGGGGGGAUGACUAUUGGAAACGAUAGCUAAUACCGCAUAAGAGUAGAAGUUGCAUGACAUUUGCUUAAAAGGUGCAUUUGCAUCACUACCAGAUGGGACUGCGUUGUAUUUGCUAGUUGGUGGGGUAACGGCUCACCAAGGCGACGAUACUGAGCCGACCUGAGAGGGUGGUCGGCCAAACUGGGACUGAGACACGGCCCAGACUCCUACGGGAGGCAGCCGUAGGGGAACUUCGGAAAUGGACGGAAGGCUGAACGAGCAACGCCGGGGUGGGGAAGAAGGGUCUCGGAUCGGAAAGCUCUGUUGUGUGGGAAGAAAGGGUAUGAGGGUGGAAAGUUCACACUGUGACGGUAUCUAAACAGAAAGGGACGGCUAACUACGUG